rnacentral:tRNA from 1 species
GCCUCCGUAGCUCAGUGGAUGAGAGCGAAGGACUUCUAAUCCUUAGGCCGUAGGUUCGAGUCCUACCGGGGGCG